GACGAACGCUGGCGGCGUGCUUAACACAUGCAAGUCGAACGGAAAGGCCUGUCCUUCCUUGUGUUGGACGGGUACUCGAGUGGCGAACGGGUGAGUAACACGUGAGUGAUCUGCCCCCAACUUGGGGAUAAGCCUGGGAAACUUGGUCUAAUUCCCGAUAGGACUGCAGGGUGGUGCCUGUGGUGGAAAACGAUUUUCUAGUGGUUGGGGAUGAGCUCGCGGCCUAUCAGCUUGUUGGUGGGGUAAUGGCCUACCAAGGCGGCGACGGGUAGCCGGCCUGAGAGGGUGGACGGCCACAUUGGGACUGAGAUACGGCCCAGACUACUACGGGAGGCAGCAGUGGGGAAUAUUGCACAAUGGGCGGAAGCCUGAUGCAGCGACGCCGCGUGGGGGAUGACGGCCUUCGGGUUGUAAACUCCUUUCGACCGCGAGGAAGCCGCAUGGUUGGAAGGGUGGUGACGGUAGUGGUAGAAGAAGCACCGGCUAACUACGUG
rnacentral:rRNA from 1 species